rnacentral:rRNA from 1 species
AUGCAGUCGAGGGGCAGCAUCAUCAAAGCUUGCUUUGAUGGAUGGCGACCGGCGCACGGGUGAGUAACACGGUAUCCAACCUGCCGACAACACUGGGAUAGCCUUUCGAAAGAAAGAUUAAUACCGGAUGGCAUAAUUAUUCCGCAUGGGAUAAUUAUUAAAGAGUUUCGGUUGUCGAUGGGGAUGCGUUCCAUUAGGCAGUUGGCGGGGUAACGGCCCACCAAACCUACGAUGGAUAGGGGUUCUGAGAGGAAGGUCCCCCACAUUGGAACUGAGACACGGUCCAAACUCCUACGGGAGGCAGCAGUGAGGAAUAUUGGUCAAUGGACGAGAGUCUGAACCAGCCAAGUAGCGUGAAGGAUGACUGCCCUAUGGGUUGUAAACUUCUUUUAUACGGGAAUAAAGUGAGCCACGUGUGGCUUUUUGUAUGUACCGUAUGAAUAAGGAUCGGCUAACUCCGUGCCAGCAGCCGCGGUAAUACGGAGGAUCCGAGCGUUAUCCGGAUUUAUUGGGUUUAAGGGAGCGUAGGCGGGUUGU